GGAUAAUGUCCCUCUCACAAUUGACAUCCUGGGAUCAAAAGAGAAAAAAAAGACGGGCUACUGGUACAUAUCACUACAUCCAUCCUGCUGGUGCUUCUUUCAUUGAGAUCACCCUGAUUCUAUCCAAGUGAAAGAUGGCAGCCUUCAGUACAAGCUUAACUGGUGACAAUGAGGAUCUGAUUUCAAAAGAAGUUUGCCUGAGCGAGGGUCUCAGGAGCUGGCGCUUUGUGAUUAUAUUUCCAUCUGGAAGAUAGGCAGCCACAAGCAGAUAUAAAGCAUCGUAAAAAGAUUCACUCUGGACUUGACUAACAUAAGGAAGAUCAGGAUAAGGCCUGAAGUAUUUCAGAUGCUUGCUUGGAGUUGCUCAAAUGAAUACAGGACUUUAUCUGGUAAAGGGCCUUUAUUACAUUUUAGACCUUUGCUCACUCAGACUGCAAGGAGAGCAUGUAGCUGGUUUGGAAUUAGGCCAGCCCUUUGGGGGAAGCUGAGGAAGCAAUUCUACUUGUUAGAUUAAGUUGUUUUCUGUCUCAGUGAUUACUGUUUUCUGAUUGGCUCCUUCCUGAUUCUUUGUCAACUCUCUCUCGCUGAGUCUGGAAAGCUAUGAGGGCUGCAUACAGCAACUCACUUGCAAGCGAUGACACAUAUAAUGAGGUCGCAGUGACCUCGGCAUACUGGCUUAGCGUGGCAUGUCCAGGUGAAGCCUUAGAAUUCCUCCCUGGCCUCAGAGUGCUUGAGACCCCAGACGCUGGAACAUGUUUGUUUAUGAGGCACUUCUAAUUUUAAUUUUGUUGGCAAGUUCAUCAGCAAAUUAGAGAUCAUGACAAGUAUUUAACAGCCUUUGGAAAAGGAUAGCAUGGAGUGGUAACAGUAUAGCAGGGUGCAAAGCCUACAGUUAGCUCUGAUUAAUAUUGGGGGAGAUUUUCAAAGGCACAGUUGGGGGCUAGAUCCACAAAGGAAAAAGGCUCAGCAUGGCAGUGCCUAACUUUUAGAUGUUCUGCCACCUAGUGGAACAGUUAGGUGCCCAGGCACAGGGAGAGUUAGGCACCCCAGGGCUGGAUUAACCUUUUAUGGGCCUGGCGCCAAACAUAUUUGUGGGCCCCAAUGGAGGCAAUGAAGCAUGGCUCAGGGAGAUUAGUCCCCAGAUCGAGGGGCUAGCCAGGGGCAUGGCAGGGGCGGCCCCGCUCCGCCCAGUACGAGGGCACUAUUUACAAACUGGCAGUUGCCAGAUACACAGUGGCCCUGUGAUUCCAGCAUGCCCCUUCCCCUCAGGAGGCGGGUCCAGGCCAUGCCACAGAGCUCCCCGCCCAACCCCCCACCCCGACUCCUUAUGGCCAGAGCCCCCCAGGACCCACUAUGCCCAGUGCCCCCCCAGACCUCCCUCAGAAAUGCACAGCAACCUGCACAACACUACCCCUGCCCAGCACUCCCCUGCCCACAGCCCCACCACAACUGCCCAGCACCCCCUACAGAACCUCCACUCCCUAUUGUCCCAACACAUACAUCUUCCCCGCCCCCUUACAGUCCAGCACCUCCCUGCCCAGACUCCGCAGAAACCCACUCCCCCACUCUGUGCCUCCCAGCUGCACUCACCGGCCCUGCUAGGAGGUGACUGUCUGCUGGACUGAGCCAGCAGCGCAACCAAGGCUGGUCCCGGGGCCGGGAAUCGCUCUGUCCCUUCAGGAGUGCUGCGAUCAGCCAGGCCAAGGCCUGCCUCGGCCGGGCUCCCUCAAGACGCACUUGCCUGGAAGGGUCCAGACAAGCCCACCACACUGUCCCCCCCCCCAGGCUGAGACUGGCCAGGCUUCUGCACCAGUCCCAGGUGGCUCAGCUCCGGGGAGACAGGUGGGGUCCUACAGGCCUGGAGCCAGAGGUGCACUGGGCUUCUGAGCAUGGGCCCAGCUCCAUGGAGCCACUGGCACCAUUGUAAACCUGGCACUGUCUAUGACUAGGUCAAUGAGACAGAGAGGAUGACUCUAUAACACUGUGGUUGGGCACUGAGAUGGAGACCUGGGUUCAAGACCCUGCUUCACAUCAAGGAGAGGAAGGAUUUGAAUAUGCAUAUUGAGCAGAUGUGUUCAGAGAACUAUUCACCAUGACACCAAGAUCUUUUUCUUGAGUGGAAACAGCUAAU